CAUUGAAAAAGUAUGACUAUAAACAGAAGCUGGACACAAUUUUGAAACUGACGAAAAAGGAAUAGAGGACGGUCUUUCAGAAAUAGAGGGAGUAUUUAUCUUCAAACCACCUUUGCAGAAACGUGAACAGAAAAAAAAGGGUCUGCUAGGUACCAUAAGUACAGAUCAGGGCCAAGUUGAUCCAGAACAACAAGAGCUAGCCUCAAAAGCAAUCAACGACGAAACUCACAUAGAACAACAGGAUCCAACAUCGACAAUCUUGGGCAGUACUUCUGUAAGUUUAUUGACACCGCUUGGUUUUAGGAGACAGCAAACUGGUUUCCUAAAUUUGUUUUUGACAACGAUUCAAGUUUGUUUUGUGAUCUUAUUUCCAGAUAUAUUUGGAAUCAUAUACGUAGUUCUGUUAGGAAUUCUAUUUCUUGGCAAAUUCUUAUAACAAGCCUCUAACCCGAUGCAUAAGCACCGGAUGAAUAACAUAGGUGGAAUAUAUAUUUAUGUGCAGUCACUGAAAUCUUGUUACGUGAAGUGUAAUGUUUAUCAGAGACGGGCCAUGAUGCUCAGGUACCUUAUUCAGUUUCUUCACAAAACUUGAGACAUGAGAAUCAUUCUUCUAAACAUUCCAACAAUAUUAUCUCUUGUAACCAUUAAACAACCAAGCGGAAAAGGUUCUACCAAAAAUUUACCUUUCAAUUUUUGUGGGGUAGAAAAUUGUGUGUAUUGGACGUACCAAUGUAUACUUUUUUGAACACCAACAGG